CGUAGGGCGCAAGCGUUAUCCGGAUUAUUGGGCGUAAGAGCUCGUAGGCGGUUUGUUCGCGUCUGCUGUGAAAGACCGGGGCUCAACUCCGGUUCUGCAGUGGGUACGGGCAGACUAGAGUGCAGUAGGGGAGACUGGAAUUCCUGGUGUAGCGGUGAAAUGCGCAGAUAUCAGGAGGAACACCGAUGGCGAAGGCAGGUCUCUGGGCUGUAACUGACGCUGAGGAGCGAAAGCAUGGGGAGCGAACAGGAUUAGAUACCCUGGUAGUCCAUGCCGUAAACGUUGGGCACUAGGUGUGGGGGACAUUCCACGUUUUCCGCGCCGUAGCUAACGCAUUAAGUGCCCCGCCUGGGGAGUACGGCCGCAAGGCUAA
rnacentral:rRNA from 1 species